CCUGCCCUCACUGCCGUGGGCAGAAGGGAGCCAUGACGACGCUGUGCUUCCCCACGGGGGCUGCCUGCGGUCCUGCCCAGAUGGAGCACGCAGCUGAAGCCAGAACGCUGCUUUUUAGAACGUUUAGUUAAUGACAAACAGCUGCCAACAUCCACGUUAAACCCCACACGUCUUAGAGCAGGACAUCAAACUGAAUCAAGUCUGGAGAAACAAGCCGCACACUGCCAAGAACCAUCUUCCACGCUGCAGGUCACCUUGGGCCCUGAGCUCUGACUGCACAGGAGACCCGGUCUAGGUGUUUUCCCACAGGGUCUCCCUGGGUACCCAAUACUGAAACAUGGGGGUAGGUGGCAUCCUGCUGAAACCCUAAGCCACAGAACACACGCUCAACUACCGAGAAGGUGCAGCCUGCGAGGCUGCGCUGUCACCGUGGCUGCACACAGUGGGCAGUGCCAGUAUUUUAAUUAAAUAAUCACUCUGGGCUGUUGCAUCACAUCUCAGAUUACCAUGGAGGACCCAGCAGUUAAAAUUACUCAGCAAUUCUAGCUCCCGCUCUCCCAUUUCCAGCUGCCUUCGCAUCCGGAGCCGAAGGGCGGGCGCUACAGCGGUGUAAGGUUCCUUGGUGCAGGGGAUCGGAGCCCUGGAAUCAAAGUGCCGGCCUCUCCCGACUGCUAGCACGGGAGCCGAGAGAGCACCUCAGUCCGGCGGGUCCCUGCUCAGCCAAGACCUGAGGACAAAGUGCCGGCUUGUCUGCGAGCUCCGGACUCCCGCUCACUGCCUGGGCUGCCCGUGCAGUGCUGGGGAAGUCGACUUCCACCCAGACACUGCGUACACACGGAUUCAUCCUGGGUGAGUGCGUGUGGUCGUGGGCGGAGGGAGGGGCUGCGGCUUCCCUCCGUGCCUGCUGCUGGCACCUCGCAUACCAAGGCCUGAGGCACCAUCGGCGGCGACGGCCCUGUGCUCCCGCAGCCCUGCCCGUGCAGGCGCUUCCUCCAAACUGAAGCCGCGGCAGGAAGCAGGCUGGCCGCAGUGCUGAGGUUCUGGUGAGCUCUCUUCUAGGUUCAGCUGAAGAGGCUGCUCUGAGAAAGCCUGCAGAGCAAACGGUCACCUGGGAGCCAGUGAGCUCAGGGCCAGGGUCCUGCCUCCCCUGCAGCGGCGCUUUGGCCGGGCGGCCUGAGGGUGGAACAGGGGGUCCCGGGGCAGGCGGCGAUCCUAGAAACAGGGGCUGCUGUCACAUUGCUGUGACCGCCUCUGCUUCCCUCACCAGGAAGGCAGGCAAACUGGAUGUCCCCAGGCCGCCUGGAAUGCUCAGGUGACAGCAGUGAGCAGAGGGGAGGGGGGCAGACGCGCUCCCUGUUCCCUGGGUCACCUGCUCCUGCUCAGCUAGGGGCUUACUGCCACCUGGAAGAACAAAGGGCAGACUCUUUCCAGCUCAUUUUUCUAGGAUCAGAGCAAAAAAAUAAAUUAAAAAAAAAAAAAAAAAAAAACAACCCCGGUAGCCCUGAGCGGAUAAUGUUCACGGCGAUAUUUGUGUUCAGUGACUCAAACUGCCACAUCCUCUCUGUUAACAACCUCACACACCCGACCAGGGACUCGGAGCGAGAGGGAUACAGAGCUGGGGCCCUGAGGAUUUUUAUGAGGAAACUCUCCCGGGUGACACUUCUCCCACAUCGAUCAGCACCAGGAGAGCGGGAGUUCAGACAGGAAGAGGCGCAGCAUUGGUCUGGCGAUGGUCGCAACCACAGCCACGCAAAAGGCAGCUCACGGCAACCUGGGCAGCGUGAGGGAGCAGAGCACGGCCUACGUCCUGAUCCAGAAAUGCAGUCUGCUAAGUCGGAAACGGACCCCGCACCUCCCACUUGUGGGUUAGCCCCCAAGCGCAGAGCUCAGCAGACCGGACUCACACGGAGGAUCCCGCAUCUCACGAGCUCUGUGCGUCUGCGCCACACUCAGCAACCUGUCAGCACGAAGAUCCGCAGCGUCACAUACCCGGAGCUGAGGCCGAGAACAGAGGGGCCGAGUCAGCCCGCUACCGCGCUUGCUGUAAGGGUCUGACGGGGGUGUGCUGCCUAUAAACCGGAAAGCACCGUGCAGCAGGAGGAGGGCCUGAUGGAAGGUUCAUGGAAAAUGGAAUUCAGAGAUGCUUAUCUUGCUGCAGAAACUUUUUAGAAAUCCGGGUGGCAUUGAGCUUCGCAGUUAGAUGCCAGUUAAGCCACUUGUGUCCCGCCUCCGCGUGCCUGGGCUCAGCACCCAGCUCUGCCCGAGUCCGUGCCAGUGCAGACCCCAGGAGACAGCACCGAAGGCUCAAGGACGUGGGCCCCUGCCACCACGCGGGAGAUCCACAGAGAGCUCCUGGCUCCUGGCUGCAGCCCCAGGCCAGCACUAGCUUUUGCUGGCAUUUGGAAAGUGAACCACUGGAUGGUGGCUCUCUGUGCCUCUCUCUCUGCCUCUCAAAAGAAAUAAAAAUUAAAAAUACAUUUAGAAACUCCGAAUAGAUAAGAGGUGUUUGAAAAGUUCACAGCAUGCAUUUGAUGGACGAAAGCUAUGAAUAGAUGUCAAACAGUUUUCUGCAACAAAAUAAACUCAACUGUCAAUUCCAUUUUCCAAGAGCUUCUCGAAGCACCUGUGUGCCAUAGAUCGCUGUCAUCUGCGCCAGGUCACAGCGCUGGAGCACAGGCAGCCCCGUGGGCCACAGACUGGCUCCGAUGUCAGUGCAAAGGGAGCUUUCUUGCUUUGGGAUAAAACUGUAGACGGGGCCAGUAUUGUGGCAGAGGCGUAAGCUACCACCUGUGAUGCCGCAUCCCGUCUCAGCACUGGUUCAAGUCUAGGCUGCUCUACUUCCAAUCAAGCUCCCUAACGCCCCUGGGAAAGCGGCAGACGAUUGCCUGAGUGCUUGGGGCCCUGCCACUCACAUGGGAGACCUGGAUAGAGUUCCAGGCUCCUGGCUUCGGCCUGGUCCAGCCCUGGCCAUUGUGGCCACGUGGAGGAGCAAACCAGCCGAUGGAUGAUCUCCACUGUUCCUUCUCUCAAACUGUCUGUAACUGCCUUUCAAAUAAAUAAAUCUUUAAAAAAAUUUUAGGCAGGGUGAAUUUUUGGCACGGUAGUUCAAGAUGUUGCUUGAGGCACUGGCAUGCCACAUUGGAGGGCUUGGGUUCAAGUCCCAGCUCCACUCCCGAUUCCAGCUUCCUGCUAACACUGGAAGGUGGCUGGUGACGGUUCAAAGUACCAGGGUUAUCUGUCACCCACAUGGGAGACUCAGAUGGAGUUCCUGGCUCCUAGCUUCUGCCUGGCCCAGCCUCUGCUGUUGUGCAUAUCUGGGGAGUGAACCAGGGCAUGAGGGAACCCCUGUCUCCCCUUCUGUCUUUAAAAUAAAAAAUUAUACAUUUUUUUCA